rnacentral:rRNA from 1 species
AUUGAACGCUGGCGGCAUGCCUUACACAUGCAAGUCGAACGGCAGCACGGGAGCAAUCCUGGUGGCGAGUGGCGAACGGGUGAGUAAAGCAUCGGAACGUGCCCAGUCGUGGGGGAUAACGUAGCGAAAGCUACGCUAAUACCGCAUACGAUCUGUGGAUGGAAGCGGGGGACCGUAAGGCCUCGCGCGAUUGGAGCGGCCGAUGGCAGAUUAGGUAGUUGGUGAGGUAAAGGCUCCCCAAGCCGACGAGCUGUAGCUGGUCUGAGAGGACGACCAGCCAGACUGGGACUGAGACACGGCCAAGACUCCUACGGGAGGCAGCAGUAGGGAAUUUUGGACAAUGGGCGCAAGCCUGAUCCAGCAAUGCCGCGUGCAGGAUGAAGGCCUUCGGGUUGUAAACUGCUUUUGUACGGAGCGAAACGGCUUCCACUAAUACUGGGGGCUAAUGACGGUACCGUAAGAAUAAGCACCGGCUAACUACGUGCCAGCCGCCGCAGUAAAAC